GAAGGGUUAACAGUUUAACGUGAAUGAGACAUAAACACAGAGAGGCACUAUUUAUAUUUUUGGGCACUAGACAGGAAAGCAAAAGAAACACAACUACUGUAACACAGCAGAAACAAGAACAUCAAAUCACCAGUGUUAAGGAGCCCUCUUCUUUGAGAUCUAUUUAUUUCCCCAUUGUUCAAAACAAUGCAGCCAUUUUGUAGAGAAGCAUAUAAUCUAUGCAAAACUGAACACACAAUGAGAAUAUGUGGACUGUGCUAGGGAGGAGUCAAUAGCUACUGAAUGGCAGCUAAGUGCUUGGGUAGUCACCACCCACCAGGUAAAGCCAUACAUUUUAAGAUAUAUAUGGCUACAUAACUUACAAUAUGUAAGAAACACAACAAUCUGGCCAACUGCAAUACACGUAUCAAGAACUAUUUAAAACAUAUUGGUUGAGAUCCUGUUAGCAUAAUGAGUAACUGAAUCAGCAAGCCAACUUCUCCACAAGUCCCCAUGAUGCAAAUAGUCCUAUUAUACUUAAAUUUACUACGCUAAAUCAAGUUACAACUAGACUAGGCCCAUUAAAAUCCAUGGAACUUAAGGGGUUGACUCAUCAAACAUUCACUGAUUCAAUAUGACUUGCUCUAGUACAACUUACUACCAAACAACAGAAUUUUAGAUGACAGUAGUGUUCUCCUAGAAAUAUUUUCUACCCAUUGUCCUUUCAAUAAAAGCUGCCACUUGACUCUUCUUUUUUACUUCUUCCUUCCAUGUCUUCUAAAAUAUCAUCUUUCCAACUUUCAGGAACACAUAUAGUCAUUAAGCAUUUCAAUGAAAUUGAAAUGUUCAUUUUGGCACACACACCCCUCCACAACACUUUAGAUUUAGAAGUAUGCAAGCCAUUUAUUCCACCUGUACUGACUGCUACAUUCAAUAUCCACUGUUUCCCUUUACACCAAAGCAGAAUGUACUCAACACAGUUGACCAUCAACUAUCGGGAAUUAUGAUUUUUUAAAAAAUGAAAAAAGGGUGAAUUUUGAAUUCAGAUUCUCAAUAAAAUCUCUAAGUGAACCA
rnacentral:lncRNA from 1 species